GACGAACGCUGGCGGCGUGCUUAACACAUGCAAGUCGAACGGAAAGGCCCUGCUUUUGUGGGGUGCUCGAGUGGCGAACGGGUGAGUAACACGUGAGUAACCUGCCCUUGACUUUGGGAUAACUUCAGGAAACUGGGGCUAAUACCGGAUAGGAGCUCCUGCUGCCUGGUGGGGGUUGGAAAGUUUCGGCGGUUGGGGAUGGACUCGCGGCUUAUCAGCUUGGUGGUGGGGUAGUGGCUUACCAAGGCUUUGACGGGUAGCCGGCCUGAGAGGGUGACCGGCCACAUUGGGUCUGAGAUACGGCCCAGACUCCUACGGGAAGCAGCAGUGGGGAUUAUUGCACAAUGGGCGGAAUCAUGAUGCAGCAACGCCGCGUGCGGGAUGACGGCCUUCGGGUAGUAAACCGCUUUCGCCUGUGACGAAGCGUGAGUGACGGGAAUGGGUAAAGAAGCACCGGCUAACUACGU
rnacentral:rRNA from 1 species